UUAGAGGCGUGGAGUGGGGGAGCACGAGUUCUGGAAGAUGCGCUGCUCUGUGUUUCUUUUGUUAUUAUCUUACUCUGGUUAGUAUCGCUUUUUACCUGCCACUUCCGCAAAAGCUGGUCAGCCAAGAGAGUGGCGGCAUCACGUAAUGAUACAUUUUCUCAUUAUUUCAUUUAUGACUGAGGCUAUCCAUGGAGGGGGGAUUAGAGUCUCCGGGUCACCCCCGUAAUGGAAGCCCUCAGACUGGGGCCGUCAGGUGGUCAGCUCUCCUCCCUGGUGGUGGCUGUGGUGAUCAGCAGUGGUCAGUGCAGGCGACGGGUUGGAGGGUCCGGUGCAGUGGUCAGUGCAGGCGACGGGUUGGAGGGUCCGGUGCAGUGGUCACUGCAGGCGACGGGUUGGAAGGUCCGGUGCAGUGGUCAGCACUGGGGCCAUCCAUCCCAAGGGGGAGAUGGAGAUGUAGACUGAUGAUCCGCGUGCAUGUCGACGCUCAGAGGACAAAGAGGCGAGACUGUCUGCCUGGCUGGGGGGCUUUCCUCUGCCAGCACAAAGGCUAGUUAGCGCAGAGCAGAGAGUGCUUGCUCGCCUGUCUGAGGCUGGCUCUGCCCUGCGACUUGGAAAAUGUAACUCUGAUCGUCUCCAGCAAACCUUAUUCCUCUCUUUUCCUCUCUUUGACCUCUCUCAUAUCUCCUUCUUCAUCUUUGUCUCUGCUAUUAUUAGCGCGUUACAGUUUAUUGUGUUUGUGGCGUUUGUGUGUUCUGAUACAUCUGUCUAUGCCUUUCUUUGUGUGCGGAGCAUUCAGCUUAUCUUUUACUCGAGCUCUCUGAAAUGAAGGAAUAAGUUAUCUGCAGUGAAGGAGGGGAAAAAUGGGGACUUUUUUUCUUCCACAGCAGGCGACUGUUGUUUGACGAAGCCUUUCAGCACAUUACCUAAGUGGUCAGACCGGACAGGACACUGGCCAGACAGACACGUGGAGGUGGUUUUGGGGCAGGAGGGAGGCACCAAGGGGUGGUGGUAGUGAGAGAAGGGUGCCAUGCUGCUCACACCCCUGUCCGACUGACUGUGUGCGGCUCCUCAGUGCCAGAACCCUGUUGUACUUCUCCUGCUCCCUGAGACCCUAACUUGUGAGCUCUCUUCAUGAAAAAUCACGGGUUAGGCUCUUGGGACGCUGGCGGAGGGCACGAGCGACUACAGUAGCAACCCAAUGUGCCUGCCAAGGGUGGAGUCGGGAUGGAACAGCUGCUGACAUCAAUGUUACACACAUCAGGAUGUAUGGGGAAAGGGAGGAAGGGGAAGACAGAGAGAGAAAAGGGGGAUGAGGAAGGGGGACCGAAACAGAUCAUUGGUGGUAGUGAAAUUAAAACGUAGGUUUCUUUCUUGAUGAGCAUUACCAACGACUUAGCCCUCGCUCACAUCCCUAUGUGUACAAUGUAUGAUCGCCCUUACAGUGGGUCCUCACUUAGUAGUUACGUCAUACACUGCGGUAUGCCACGGUACGGUACUGCACGUUAUAGUGCGUGACGUCAUAGUAUUUUGUUGUCAGCCACUGUUGCCGUUAAUGCUUGUGCGAACCAUCAGAGGGCAUCUUUGAGCACAUCUACUCCAGCCUGGCGGGCCUACAGUAAGACUACAAAAUAAAACCAUGUUGACGACAGUUUUAUGAGUUUAACCUUCUGAAUUAUUACAUUGAAGAAAGAUUUUUGUCUUUGUUUUCCGUUUGUCUACUGUAAUGUAGCCUAUAUUUUUUUUAUCUUAAAUGAUUGUCAGGGGCUCCCCUUUCAUCGAACAUAAUGUGUCAAAAUAAAUUAUAAUUUUGUGACAAAACUGCAUAAUGGUAUUUGCUUUAUGAAAACUAGCCACUGCAAAUGACGCAUAGUAAAAUAGGCUACUUGUUACGGGAGAGGAGGAUGCUGCAGCGGGAAAGAGUGAUAGCCCCUCAUCUAUAUAAAGUGAGUUUCUGAAACACAGAGUCAUUCUUUGCUGAUGCGAAGAAGAAACUGAAUGAAAGAGAGUACAGGGAGGAAAAAACUACAGGCAAGUCAUCUGUAUGGGCCUCAUUUACGCACAUGGUGGAUACGGAGGGGAAAAAGGUUGCCCAUAUUUUCAAGAGCUAUUCAAUAUAUUUGUUUUAUUUAUGAAAUGACUAGUUUAUUUAGGCAAUAAAUGUCUUGGUACUUUGUAAAGUUCAUGGCGUCAUUAACCUUAACAAGGGCCGAGGACCAGUGGAAGCAAGAUAGUCCUAUAACAUCAAAGAUCCACCACCAUAUUUGACUGUAGGUGUAUGAAGAACUUUUCUGCAUAUGCUUCGUUUUUCGAUGCCAAAGAUCUUGGCCAUGUCAGAUGACAUGAAAAUAGAACCCUUGGCCACGCACACCAGUGGUGGGUUUGGUGUCGAAAAUCGGAAGAAUAUGCAGAAAAGUACCUCAUACAUACAGUAAAAUAUAGUGGUGCAUCUUUGUUAUGGGGCUAUUUUGCUUCCACUGGUCCUGUUGGCCCUAGUUAAGGUCAAUGGCAUCAUGAACUUUACCAAGUACAAGGACAUUUUAGCCAAAAACCUGGUUGCCUCCGACAGAUAUUCCAGCAAGACAAAAACCCCAAGCACACAUCAAAAUUCACAAAGAAAUGGUUAAUUGACCACAAAAUCCAAAUGUUCAGUCUCUGGACUUGAACCCCAUUGAAAACCUGUGGUGUGAAAUGAAGAGGGCAGUCCAUAAGGGUAGAUGAAGGAUAUCAAGGAUCUGGAAAGAUGAUGAUCUAAGAUCCCUCCUGAUGUGUUCCCCAAACUCAUAGCAUUUAAAAAAAAAGUUUGUGUUGUUAUCUUUUUGACAUGUAUUUUAUUAUUUGUUGUAUUAGUAUAAAAAUGAUAUCAUUUCACUUUUUUUGUAUGCAUUAUAGCUCAGUAUUUGUAUUAUUUAUUUUAUACAGUAUUUUUUGCUCAUCUUUAUCAAUUGUGCCAAUAAUUAUGGACCUGACUAUAUAGCAGACAGAUAUUUCUUCAACUUCAUCUUUCAAUGCUGUAUGAAGUCAUCUGAAAGCAUGCUUUAAUUUGACCAUCCCUGUAACUACUUUAUGAUUUGAAACUGAAUUGAUAGAAAUAAGUUCCCCUGAAGACUCAAAUACAUGUUAAGAACCACAACCCAGCAAACCUGAAGUUAGGAAUAACAAUACUCUUCAAUUACUAUGCAAUUGGAAACAUUUUCUUUCAUCAAUGUUAACUGUAUGAGACAGAGCAUUUUUUUUUUUAAAUAAACAGUUUUUAUGAAUUACUGUGAUGGCACUGUAAAUUAUACACUAUAUGGAAUUGUAAUAGACGUUUGUUCAGCACAUAACAUUGUUUAUCCAUGUAAACAGUUUACCAUAAUGUUUUCUAAAUUGUUUUUAUUUAUUUACCAACAUUAUACAUAAAGAUCUACAAGAUGAUUAUGGAAACUAGGUGAUGUUCAAGCAGUUUACCUAUAUAUUAUAAUAAAAAAUACAAAAAUAAGUAUUUUGCAUUGCAUAGUUGAUGAAUUUCUAGCCCUCACUUAUUUCAGUCAUGUUUCAUUCAUGUGUAAAGGCUUUUUAAAAACCUUAUUCCAUGUCAAAUGACCGACUUCCUUGAAAUGAAGGAAAGGCCCUCAGGAAUUCAUCUUAAUUUAGGGAGAUGGAGAAGAUUUCAGAUAGGAUGUCAAAUGAAAACACAUUGUUUGUCGCUAUACAAAAUCAAAUCAUUUUUGACCAAGACAAUCCAAUUACAAACUCCCCCUGUCCUUAACACUGAUCUCACUGUUAAAGAGGUGUAAAUUAAUUCACCCUAACAGCUGACCUCAUUUUUUAACUUUCUGCUUUUCCCGAGGCAGCUUGCUUUUAUAAAAAAACACAUUUCUGCUAAAUUACCCACAUUAGAAAUGCAGUUUCAAAACAAUUGAUUUUCUCUCUAUGCCCGCUCUCUCUCUCUCUCUCUCUCUCCUUUCUCUCUCCCUCACACACACACUCACUAAUUAUGUUUUUUCCCUAUCUACUCCCUGUUUGGUGUUCAUAGUGAACAGUGCUGAUGCCAACUAAUCAGUCUGUGUCUGUGCCACAGAGCCCCCAGCAACAGCUAAAGGAGUGAGUGCCAUGCCCCAUGAAUACCAAGCAGUCAGACACGACGCAGCGAGUGCAGAGCUGGUGCCCACAAAACAGUUAGACAGUUUUAUUAGGAUGUGUCUGACACGUGGCAAAGCCUGGCAGGCACGGAGGCAGCUAGCACUCAUCGGAAACCCACUGAUGAAAUCUUCAACUCAGCGCUAGGCUGCUAGCUCCCACAACACUAACAAAGCAGGCUGGCUGCCCUGCUCUUCUCAACCCAUAUUCUCAUCUGAAGGAGUCAAUACAUAAAUAUAUUACACAGUGAAAUCAUCUCAGCAACCCUCAGGACUUUAGCAUUUAACACUGUUCAAUAGGGAACAGCCUAGCCCUAGAAAACUUUUGUGAAAUGUCAAGUUAUUUUACAAUUAGAAACUGGUGCAAAUUAGAUGGAUUUAUUUAGCAUUGAAAUGCAGUACAGUAGCCUCAAAGGCUAAAAUACUGUACUACAGCAUGAAGAGAAUCCAAAAAUAGAGUAAAAUAAAAUUCUGGAUACGACUUUUGGUCAUCUCCAGGCUACAAGUUGCAAAUUAUAUCUUUGGUCUUCCUCUAUUGUCUUCCUCUGUUUAGUGGAUUCUACAACAUCAAAUGAGAACGAGGGAUAAAGAUAGAAUUUAAGACAGACACAUUGAAAUAAAUUAAUAGCUCAAACAUUGCAGGUUUUUGAGAUGUAGUGUAAAAUCCCUGUAAAUUUAGACAAUUCACAAUUCAAACAAUGAACUCUCCCUCCCUCGUCUCAUUUUGAUAUGUUGACGGUUGAUGACCUCUGAUGGAGAAGUGUGUGUUUACUCUGCAAAAAGAAAAUGAACAAAGAAAACAUUGAAAAUGAGCAGGGGAAAACUAUCAGUGCUGACAAAUAAGAAACCACCUCACACCUUAUGGCACUUUAUGUGUAUCAUUAGACAUCAGCAAUUUGUUUCCCAAUUGUUUAUAUUAUUUAUGUAAAAAAAAAAGAAGAGGUAUGCUAAUUCAUUCCUUUGAAGCAAAUAUAGACAGAAGGUACAGUAGGACAGAACUCUUGUCCGAAGCUGGUUUUGACUUUAUGUAAUGAGAUAUCUUGAACCACUGUGGAGGUGGGUCCUCAAGUUAAAGAGGUAAAAUACUGUCUUAUAAUUUCUCCCAUUGAUCAUCAGCAACAGCAGUUCUACAUUGUGUUAUGUCAUGUAUCAAAAUCCCCUCUUACCAUUUUGCCAUAUAGAGCAGUGGUUUCCAACCAGGGGUACUAAGACUUAGUAUCAGGUUUCAGGUAAGACCCAAGUGCAGACUGUGUUGAAGUAACAAUGUUUAUUGCAACAGGGGCAGGCAAACGACAGGUCAAGGCAGGCAGGGGUCGAUAAUCCAGAGUAGUGGGGCCAAGGUACAGGACGGCAGGCAGGCCCAGGGUCAGGUGAGGCAGAGGUCGGUAAUCCAGAGUAAGGGCAAAGGCACAGGGCAGCCUCAGCGUCAGGCCAGGACAGGCCAGGCAAGGGUCAAAACCAGGAUGCAAAAAAGAGCAACUGGAGAAAAGCAGGUGCUGAUACAAACCACUGGUUGACUUGAACAAACAAGACAAACUGGCCCAGACAGACAGAAAACACAGUUAUAAAUACCCAGGGGAUAAUUGGGGAAGAUGGACGACACCUGGAGGGGGGUAGAGACAAGCACAAGGACAGGUGAAACAGAUCAGGGCGUGACAGUUAGGUAAUCCCUAGUUACCACAAUCACAGACACAGUCAUACAUAUGACUAAAUCCUGCCUAUUUCUACAAUUGAUCUUCUUAAAAUCUGAUGUUAAACCUAACCCUAACCACACCUUAUGCCUAACAUUAACCUUAAAUUAAGAAAUCAUGCAUUUCUUUUGUAGAUAUUGUCAAUUUUGACUAUGUGGCUGUGGUAACUAGUGACAACCGAAGACUCAUGACACCAUAGGCUUACUGGUAAAAUGCUCAUGAGGGGGUACUUCAGGGGUACUCCGGGCAGAGCAAAAUUCAGUUGGUGGUACAGUAACCGAAAAAGGUUGGGAACCACUGCUUUAGACUAAUUAAACCAUAUAAAUCUCUAGUAAUAUGGAUAGCAAUUGGACAUAUUAGGAUACAUAUUAGUGCAUUCAGACAUUUAGGAAGAGGCCUGGAUAGUGUAGUUUAACAAAAAGGAGAUCAAAUAUGCCUCUGACACAAUAAAUGUAUUCAGUGAAACUCCAACCAUCUAUCCAUUUCUAUUUCCGUUUAACAACCAGUGUGACAUUUUGUACAGCAUUCAAAUUCUCUGGCUCAGCAAAAAUGUGUGAUAUACUGCGAACUACAUUCAUCAAGGCAUUUGUUACAUAAAUAUCUUUCAAUAUGUAGUUCCAUGGUCUCUGUUAGUCAUCAGUUUCUUGCAGCAGAAAAGAUUGAUUCCAUCCCUGACCAGCCGUGGAUAAACCCUGGUUCCAGAUUAUUCUAAAUUAAAGAGUGUUCGCCGACAGACCAAGGGUGUGUGAAGAAAAAGAUUGCAUUCUAUUCUAAAGAGGGCACAUUUUGAUUGGACAGAGUUGACACAGAAAUCAGAUGGAUUAAAAGGAAUUAUCGUCUUGUUUUCUACCCUUGAUUGUCAGGCAUUGUGGAGCUGCAGCCCAGCGGAUCUCUUAUCUCAGGUAGAUGGGGGGGAACAGCAGGUGUGUAUGAUUGCAUGGUGAGUAGGGGGGGUGGAGGGGACGGACCACUGAGGCACGGGGUGUGGCGGGGGAGGGGGGGGGGGCACUAUGUCUGAGUUUCCAGACACUGCGGCAGGAAGCCAGCCAGUCACCUGAACACACAAAUGACGCUUCCCCGCACACACCCCGGUAUUCGUCCCCAUGAAAGCAAAUGUAAUAUUCUGUUAUAAUCCAUUUGGGGGGGGGGAUGUAGUGCUAAAGACAAUAUACCAUUUAGCACUUUAGACAAUAUAACCAUAAUCAACGGCACAAAAACACAAAGGGCCAAGUUAUGCUCAGGCCAGCGGUGGCCAGGAAUAAAGUUAAUUACAGUAAGUUGAACAUUGGUGUGUGAACACACUAUCGAAUGGACAGUAUCUACCUCUGGCUGCACUGAGACAUCGUUUUAACCAAAGGCAUAGGGAUGGAGUAUAGAGACACUGAUGUCUAGACAGUGGUAUUGGAUAUAUGGUUAUUGUUCACUAACAGACCUUAGCAUGUCCACUGGCACUUUAAGUUUGCCUGAGUGUGUGUCUGUGUGUGCAUGUGUGAGUGCAUGUCUAUGUGCAUGUGUUAUGUGUGCAUUCUAUCUAUGUAAGUACGGCCCAUGAUGGUGUUCUAGCUGGGUACCCCCCCAUUCCCUCCCUCCUCCCCACAUCCACGGUUGCCUCCCUGCCUCUCACUUCGUCAGAGGUGUUGCCACGGAAACGCGGUAUCUUGCUGCAGGCUUGCUGGAGUUAUUGAACCGCAACUGGCUGGGAUAAUUAGACUCUGGGACUUGAAUGUGACCUACAGCUGGCUUGGCUGUGUCGCCACAGAGAAAUGCUUUUAACCCGUUGGUUAGUUGGCCACCAGACACUUGGGCCAAUGAAUGUACCUUUUACACGGCAAGGACGUGGUCAAUAAAGAGACUGUAGACUUUGGGACUCUGGGACUACAGUAUCUCUGUAGUCCCAGAGAUACUGCACACAGACCUGCACAAACACACAUUCAUACACACACACACACUCAAAUCCUGCAUUCUGGCUUCCUUUGUGUCACUACAAAGAAAUCAUGACAGAGGAAGUUCCUUGUGUUUUCUCGAGUGCACUGCACUGCCCAACCCAUGCAUAGUUGGUCACAUGGACACACAAUCUGUUUACUCAUAUUUCACAGCAGGGGCGGCAGGUAGCCUAGUGGUUAGUGGUUAGAGUGUUCAACUAGUAACCGAAAUGUUGCAAGAUCGAAUCCUUUAGCUGACAAGGUAAAAAUGUGUCAUUCUGCCUCUGAACAAGGCAGUUAACCCAUUGUUCCUAGGCCGUCAUUGAAAAUAAGAAUUUGUUUUAACUGACUUUCCUAGUUAAAUAAAUAAAGGUAAAAUACAUAAACUUAAAAUAAACUCAUAUUUCACACACUGAAUGGUUAUGAUGUGAAUUACUCUGCCUGAAUGUUUGUGUGACUCAGAUAUGUGAAUCCAAAUGACUUUUUUCCCCGGAAUGGUCCUGAAAUGUUCGUCCUCCAGUCAUUGUUAACAUCCUUUUUUCCUGGUUUUCCUCCUCCCACUAAUUGCUGUCAUUAUCCUUUCUUGUUUAGGUACUGUGGAGUCCCCCCCCCCCCCCCCCCCUUCUCUCUCAGUGUAUGCUCACUCACAGGACGAAGAGAAGUAGGUAGUCGAGGAGUAAGGGACGGGGUGGCUGAAGGGCGGCGUUCCUCAGACGGAGCAGAGCAGAACGCUCUCUCCUCCUCUCCCCUUGUCAUUGGUAUGCAGUGGCUGUUCCCCAGGCGACAGGGCCACUGGGUUCGGGCUGAGCUUACUGCAAGAGGAACGUCAGCGACACAGAGGAGAGGAGGACAGCAGGUAAGGGUAAUGAGAACAGGCAUAGAAAGGAAAGGAGGAAAGAGAGAAGGAGGGAAGAAGAGGACAAGCGAAAGGAGGGCAAGAUGUCCCAAGGGGCUUUGGGGGUGAGGCACCCCCUGACCCUUCGCACUCCGUACACUGUCCAGACACUAACACACACACACACACACACACACACACACACACACACACACACACACACACACACACACACACACACACACACACACACACACACACACACACACACACACACACACACAC